rnacentral:rRNA from 1 species
GAUUGCCUCAGUAACGGCGAGUGAAGCGGCAACAGCUCAAAUUUGAAAUCUGGCCCCCCCGGGGCCCGAGUUGUAAUUUGCAGAGGAUGUUUCGGGUGCGGCGCCGGUCUAAGUCCCUUGGAACGGGGCGUCACAGAGGGUGAGAAUCCCGUCCGCGACCGGCGACCAACCCCAUGUGAAACCCCUUCGACGAGUCGAGUUGUUUGGGAAUGCAGCUCAAAACGGGUGGUAAAUUUCAUCUAAAGCUAAAUACCGGCCAGAGACCGAUAGCGCACAAGUAGAGUGAUCGAAAGAUGAAAAGCACUUUGGAAAGAGAGUUAAAACGUACGUGAAAUUGUUGAAAGGGAAGCGCUUGCAACCAGACCUGCCCGCGGGCGAUCACCGGCUGUUCUCAGCCGUGCACUCGUCCGCGAUCAGGCCAGCAUCGGUUCCGGCGGCCGGAUAAAGGCCUUGGGAAUGUAGCUCCCCUCGGGGAGUCUUAUAGCCCUCGGUGCAAUGCGGCCAGCCGGGACCGAGGACCGCGCUCCGGCUAGGAUGCUGGCGUAAUGGUUGUAAGCGACCCGUCUUGAAACACGGACCAAGGAGUCUAACAUCUAUGCGAGUGUUUGGGUGUCAAACCCAUGCGCGUAAUGAAAGUGAACGGAGGUGGGAACCCUCGAGGGCGCACCAUCGACCGAUCCAGAUGUCUUCGGAUGGAUUUGAGUACGAGCAUAGCUGUUGGGACCCGAAAGAUGGUGAACUAUGCCUGAAUAGGGUGAAGCCAGAGGAAACUCUGGUGGAGGCUCGCAGCGGUUCUGACGUGCAAAUCGAUCGUCAAAUUUGGGUAUAGGUACGUCCACGAUCCCCCGGCACCCCCGGGGUCCGCCAUCGAAACGAAUUGAACAGGACUUAUGCUAACGAUAU